rnacentral:rRNA from 1 species
CAGUAGCCACGGGAAUACGAAGGGUGCAAGCGUUACUCGGAAUUACUGGGCGUAAAGCGUGCGUAGGUGGCGGUUUAAGUCCGUUGUGAAAGCCCUGGGCUCAACCUGGGAAUUGCAGUGGAUACUGGGUCACUAGAGUGUGGUAGAGGAUAGUGGAAUUUCCGGUGUAGCAGUGAAAUGCGUAGAGAUCGGAAGGAACAUCUGUGGCGAAGGCGACUAUCUGGGCCAACACUGACACUGAGGCACGAAAGCGUGGGGAGCAAACAGGAUUAGAUACCCGGGUAGUCCCUGUCUCUUAUAC